CCUACGGGUGGCAGCAGUGAGGAAUAUUGGUCAAUGGACGCAAGUCUGAACCAGCCAUGCCGCGUGCAGGAUGACGGCUCUAUGAGUUGUAAACUGCUUUUGUACGAGGGUAAACCCCGAUACGUGUAUCGGGUUGAAAGUAUCGUACGAAUAAGGAUCGGCUAACUCCGUGCCAGCAGCCGCGGUAAUACGGAGGAUCCGAGCGUUAUCCGGAUUUAUUGGGUUUAAAGGGUGCGUAGGCGGUUUGAUAAGUUAGAGGUGAAAUGUCGGGGCUCAACCCCGAAACUGCCUCUAAUACUGUUUGACUAGAGAAUAGUUGCGGUAGGCGGAAUGUAUGGUGUAGCGGUGAAAUGCUUAGAGAUCAUACAGAACACCGAUUGCGAAGGCAGCUUACCAAACUAUAUCUGACGUUGAGGCACGAAAGCGUGGGGAGCAAACAGGAUUAGAUACCCCUGUAGUC
rnacentral:rRNA from 1 species